GACGAACGCUGGCGGCGUGCUUAACACAUGCAAGUCGAGCGGUAAGGCCCUUUCGGGGGUACACGAGCGGCGAACGGGUGAGUAACACGUGGGUGACCUGCCCUCAGCUCUGGGAUAAGCCUGGGAAACCGGGUCUAAUACUGGAUAUGACUCCAUGACGCAUGUUGUGGGGUGGAAAGCCUUGUGCGGCUGAGGAUGGGCCCGCGGCCUAUCAGCUUGUUGGUGGGGUGAUGGCCUACCAAGGCGACGACGGGUAGCUGGCCUGAGAGGGCGACCGGCCACACUGGGACUGAGACACGGCCCAGACUCCUACGGGAGGGCAGCAGUGGGGAAGUCUUGCGCAAUGGGCGAAAGCCUGACGCAGCGACGCCGCGUGAGGGAUGACGGCCU
rnacentral:rRNA from 1 species